GAGCUUACACAGCACCAAGGCCUCUUCUGCUCCUCACACCACCCCACCAAUGAGCAGGCUGGGAGUGGGCAAGAAGCUGGGAGGGAACACAGCUGGGACAGCUGACCUCAGCUGACCAAAGGGAUAUUCCAUACCAUGCUCAGUAGUGAAAUUGGGUGGAGGAGGCAUGUUGUUCAGGGCUGCCAUUGCUCAUGGACUGGCUGGGCAUUGGUCAGUUGGUGUGACACACAGCAGGAGAUUACCAGGCACAUAGGAUGGAGUGAAGGGGAUGCAAAAGUGAGGUAUCCCCCCCAGCAUAUUGGGGAUUUCUCUUCAUGGGCUUGAAUGUUGCUCACUGUGGGACUUGGAGCAGGUAUGAAUUGAUCAGCUCAUGAAGACAAUUACAUGACAUGGAUCGCUUGUGAUGGUUAGAGGGUUUUUUCACUGACCUAGUUAUUUUCAUGUGUCUGUUGCUCUCGUCAGUAUCCUGGAGAAAGGGACAGGAUAAGGGUAUAACAGCUGUUUUAGACCACAAUGACCUUGUUUGGGCAAAAGGCAACAGGAAUAUGACUGAGAUACAUAAAAUUACAAGUAAUAUGGUGAUGAUGAAUGAAGAAUGUUUAUUCAGUAUUUCCCACUAUAUUCCUAUUAUUUUCAAAGAGCAUGAAAUGAAAUUGCCAGAUAGCUGAUUUAAAGCAAUAAAUGAAAUACUUUCCCCUGUAUCCUGCAGAGUUAGCCUGUGGCAUUUGUUACCAGAUUGGAAGAAAAAUACCAGACAUGCAGACAAACAAUAUAGUUUCCCCAUGGAAAGCUUGUUGUUUAGUUCAGCAUACAAAUCCAGAGUUGCAGUAUUAUUUUUCUGCUUAUGCAAAUGAAACGUGACUUUUUGUUUCAACUAACUCUUGGUAUGUAUAUGUUAGAUGGAAAAGUAGGAUACCAGGGAAGAAGGCUGCUGAUUUACCUUUCUUGGUCCUUCACUCUGGGUUAAGUGUAACCUCUGGAGCAAGAAGGAGACUUUUCCUUUCCAUAGAGCAACUAAAUACUGCCCAAACAGGAAGAUUUUGAAAUAUGACAUGAGACUGACAAAAAGAAGCCAGACUGGGAAACUGUUCCAAAGAUCAGGGAACUAAUACACAGGCAGAUUUCAAAGGUGGUGCAAAGGAAGAGACUUUUCCAAAGGACCCAUAGAAAUUUUUCUAGAAUUUGUUGUAACUUGGAAAAUCACAUAAAAAUUGCUGGAUUAAGAGAAACUUUGGAGGAAAAAACUUGGCAUGCAAGGAACAAGGGGCAGGACAGAGACUGUUGGUUCCAAAUCAGUUUGUUUUAGUUCAGUUUUACCAAGCACAUCUUGAAUUCUGCCCGUUUAAAAAAUGUGUACUCUAAAAGAUCUUCACUUUCCAGACACAAAUUCAUUAUGGUGCUUUUGUAAUGUUCCUUAAAGGAAACAAUAUUCGCAGUUGUACUUCAGAGUUUUGUCUUUUGGGAUUAUGUGUCAGUUCUGUCACAGAAGGUAUCACUACUUUCUAUAGCCAAUGCAGAGUGACAACCAUCAUCAGAAAGUGACUCAUAGCUAACUUAGGAGAAGACAAGUGACACUUUGGAGACAGCUGUUUCUCCAAUGACUACACCAGGAACCUGAUGUUUAGACUAGGCACUUGACUUUCAGAUGUCUGUAUUUAUGGAAGAAAAAAAUCGAAAUUGCAACCCCCCAACAUAUACUUACACAAGUAAGGUGGUGGACCUAAUAUCGUAUGUACUGACCAGAGUGGUAUGCAGAGCAUAUGCAAGAUGUCAGCUCACCAAUAACAGCAAUAAGCCUUGCAAGAGUCAUAUCUCUAAAGAAGCACUAUGAUUUGGUUCAAAAUGCCCUGCCUACAUUCAGCUGCAUAAAGAAACUAGUCCAAUUUUUUAUGUCAGUCACUCUUCCAAAAGUGACAUUGGCUCUUCUGACAGGAGAGAGCACUUCAUCAUCUCUAAGAUCAUCAUUUGAUAAUAGGCUAACAGGCUCAGAAUGUGAUCUGAAGUUGUGAAACAAUUUCUUUGAUGGCUUUCCUCAGCUCAGUUACAAGAAACCUUGCUUGACAAUUUAUUUUGAACAUCUGGCCUACUAUUAUUGAGCAUCUAUUUAUAAAGCUGGCCUCAACAAAACUCUCACAGAAGUGUCUGUCUUCAAUCAGUUUGUGUGUGUCUUGUGGCAACAGAAUAUUUUACAGACAUUAGUUCCUAAUUGUUCAGGGUUUUCUUAUACAAAUCAACAUUCCUUUCUGGAGCUACUUUAUUUAUAUAUGGUUUUUAUUAACAGAGCUGUUUCUGCAUACAACAUAAAUGAAAACAACUCUAUUAGAGAAGCUGUGAGUCAUUGCCAUCAUUUUAUCAAAUAAAUUAUUUCAAGAUCUCAGACAAAGCAUGAAAAGGCUUUAACAAACAACUAGCAAUCCCUUAAAAUAUAUACAAGACAUUUUUUUUCUGCAUUUGUACUAAGUACAUUUAAAAAUCUUCUGGUUUUGCCAAACAUGGAGAAUUAAUUGCAAGCACAUUUGGAGAUGGUAUAGGAUAUCAAGGGGGAGAAGAGAAAGAGAAAGCAUGAUUCUCAUUCAAGAACAAUAAUAUAGCAUGGAAAGAUUGGAUACACUACUGUUAUUACAUGGGUACAUCACAUAUCAAGAGGAGGCAUAUUGGGGAGCGAGGACAGUUCUGUGUCUGUCGUGUAUUUUACUCAUCGUACAGUUCUGCUCUCACACAUAUCCUCCUAUUACUUUUCUGGAGAUCACUGAAGUUUUAUGCUGUUGAGCCAAAAAGGUGCCUCUCUUUAGGAGCAUUUUCUUGCUAUGCUACAUAUGACAAAACUCUUUGGCCCCUCAUCUUUAUUUAGGUUGUUUAUCUGUAUUUCACCAAAUCCACACCAUACAUUCAUCCUUGCACUAACUAGAGUAUGUAAACUAGAAAAAGGAGUUUUGUUAAUGGGAAAUAAUUUAGAAAGAGAUUGUUGUCCCAUUGAAGUCAAGGAAAAUCUUUCAUUUGAUGAGAGGAGAAUCAGAUUUUCUUCUCUAAGAUCCACCUACAAGUUUAGCUGAAUCAUUUUGAAUUUGUUUGAAUGUUAUAUUCAUCUGUUGGUGAUCAAUGCCGUGACUGGGAGAAAAACAAAAGAGGGGAUUACUUUUUUAUAUUUUAGUCUGCUUGUGUCUUUCAUUACUGUAAGUCUGAAUUUCAUUAAAAGAUGUUGCCUGACCAACAUAGUGGCCUUCUAUGGUGGAGUGACUGUAUCAGUGGACAAGGGAAAAGCCACGGAUAUCGGGACUUCUGUAAGGCCUUUGACAUAGUGCCCCACAAAAUCCUUCUCUCUACUUUGGCAGAUGUGGAUUUGGUGGAUAGACCAUUCAGUGGAUGAGGAAUUGGUUGGAUGGCCACAUCCAGAGGGUGGUGGUCACUGGCUCAGUGUCCAGAUGGAGAUCAGUGGUGGCAUAAAAUUAUAUAUAUAUGUAAUCAUUUGGGUGCCAUUCUUUUGGACAAUCCCUGGAAGUGUCUUAAAACUGAGAGUGUAAAAUGAUCCAUAGGAGAUUCAGCAUACCCUGCAUUGUGUUUAACAGCUGGUCAAGGCUGAGGGACAUCGGCACUAAAAGCCAUAAAUUCUACUGAAACUUGGGCCACUUUCCAUCAUGCUGGCUUUCUCACAUUCAUAAUCGCUGCAAUUGAAACCACAGGAGCUCAGGAACGUGGUCCUCCUAUGCAUGAUGACGCAUCAUCUCGUCUUGCAGACAUCAAAGCUUCACGCCAGCGAAUGAUGCAUCAGAGACGGAACACUCCCUGCAUCGCAUCUGCUUUACCCUGGAUUCAAAGCUCCUGCUGAGCCAGAGCAAUGUGGAGACACAGCAGCAAAACAAACACAUGCAAUCGAACAGCAGCCAGCGUAGAGGCCCUGGCCAGCAACCAGCUGUCCCGAGUUCCAGGAAAACUUACCAGGAGAUUGACUACUGCAGAAGCAUCAGUACACAAAAGUGCCUUUCGUAGACUAAUUAUUUUACAGUAUACAAUGAAAUAUCUUGUGUUAGUCAGCUAUUUGUUUACUGAGCAUCAAAAGCUGCUGGCUGCAGAAAAGCCAUGCUAGCAUAUUGUGUGUGGAUUUUAAGCCAAGGUGCCUUAUGGUACUGAACUACUAAAUUAAAUAAGUUUUCUGCAUUAAGUGGUGUUACAUGAGCAGAUAAGAUCUCAAACUUUGGUCCUGUAUCUUCUAGUGACUGGAUUUAUGUUCAAUAUUAACAAAAAAAAAAAAUAAAACACAACGAAAAAAGAGACUAAUGUAAUGAAAAAAAUAUAAUGCAGCCCAUCUAUUGCUGUGUUCUUUCCUAUGUUUUUCAAAAUAAUCAGAAACAAAGAGCUGUGAAAAGAAUGGGCCUAAUCUUGAAAGUAGAACAGGAAUAUGCUUAACUUCACCUGCCUGGUUUGUAAAGGUUUUACCACUCCAAAAAUCUUUCAGACUGCUAGGAGGGAAACGAUGGGAAAAUAUAAAAACUUUUUGGAAUAAACAAGAAUGUAAAUCAUUCUGAGUUCAGACGGUGCUCAGCUCAAGAAUGCAUCAGCUUCAGAAAAGAUUAAUAAACCAAUAUUUCUUUCUUGAGCUCUUCUUUGGAGAAAACAGCUGGCUUUGAUUAAGUAAAUGAAGAUCAAAAGAACAGAGAUAGAAGCAUAUUGAAUACCUGAUGCAGGGUAGGUAUAACUCUUAAAGAGAAAGCUGCAUCCUCUCUGUCUUUAGUUGCAGUAAGGACUUCUUUUUUUAAUAUAUAACAUUAUUUAUAGUGAUUCUGUAUGGUAGGGAUCCAAAGUACCUUUAAAUAAUGUUUCCCUUAUUGUAACUGACUUAAUAGCUGGUCUAGAAAGACCAUCUGUGUACAACAGAAAUUGCAAUUGUAUAAGGCGAAUAAUUAAUCGAAUGGCAGAGUACCAGUUUCACAUCUAGCUGUCCUGGCUAUAUUGUUGCAUGUUGAAUCAGCCAAGGGAAAUAUAGAGGCAGAUAACAGCCUUUGUCUUGGCAUUAUAUUUUAAAACCUAAGAGUGAAAAAUUCAGUGGAGCUACAGGACAAGAAAUGUAGCUUGCCAUUGAUGCUGUGGUCAAUGAGGUUUGAAACACAAACAGAGACACAGUAGGUGAGAAGCAGGACAGAGAGAUUGACUUUAACAAUCCAGAAAAAUUUAUCAACCUCAGAAAAGCCAGGCAAUUCCCCUGUAGUAUGUUUGGGAAAUCUAUUUGUAUUUAAUACGGAUAUUCCUUUUAAGAUACAGUCUUACAUGGUGCUGAAAGAGUGCCUGUUCAUUCUUAUAUUAAUUAUGGUCUAAAUGUAUUUUAGAUUAUUUUUCAUGAACAGCUGUUGACAUUUUUUUAAUCUCAGUAACCUCACUCACUUGGAAGUACUGUUGCUGGUGACUUCUUUGUCACCCUGAUUUUGGAUAGCAAGCCUUAAUAGGAAACACACUGUUCUCUGGAUGAGACAAAAUGUUCUCACAUCUUAACAGAUAUUUCCAUUGUAAGCUUGGCUCACAUAAUCAGGGGUGAACAAGAUACUUGUGACUCACCUGCCACAUUUUGUUUUUAAAAUAAUGUGGAAUAAAUUAGGGAGCAAAUGAAACAGAACAGACAUCUCAGAUUUUGAGCUGCAGGGGGGAAAAAGAAGCCUGAAGCACACCAGCAUUUUAUCUUUAGUGUUUCAUUUAGUUCUCCAUUUCCCAAGUCUAAAAUGAAUCCUGUAAAUUUUUCUGUGCCUCUGCAGUUUAAGUACAGGGAUAGUUCCAGUAAAUUAAAAGGAACUAAUCAUAUGAUUAACUUUAAGCACAAGAUUAAAUAUUAAUAAGGUGAGGACCUCUGUAGGGAUCAUCAAAAGAAGAAUGACAUUGCUACAAAAAACUUGCCAGUUUGUGACUUUUUUCCUGUUAAUGGAAGAUCUGAAAUAAAUUUUUGAAGCAGC